GACGAACGCUGGCGGCGUGCUUAACACAUGCAAGUCGAACGGAAAGGCCCUGCUUUUGUGGGGUGCUCGAGUGGCGAACGGGUGAGUAACACGUGAGUAACCUGCCCUUGACUUUGGGAUAACUUCAGGAAACUGGGGCUAAUACCGGAUAGGAGCUCCUGCUGCAUGGUGGGGGUUGGAAAGUUUCGGCGGUUGGGGAUGGACUCGCGGCUUAUCAGCUUGUUGGUGGGGUAGUGGCUUACCAAGGCUUUGACGGGUAGCCGGCCUGAGAGAGUGACCGGCAACAUUGGGACUGAGAUACGGCCCAGACUCCUACGGGAGGCAGCAGUGGGGAAUAUUGCACAAUGGGCGGAAGCCUGAUGCAGCAACGCCGCGUGCGGGAUGACGGCCUUCGGGUUGUAAACCGCUUUCGCCUGUGACGAAGCGUGAGUGACGGUAAUGGGUAAAGAAGCACCGGCUAACUACGU
rnacentral:rRNA from 1 species